rnacentral:rRNA from 5 species
UUCCGGUUGAUCCCGCCGGAAGCCACUGCUAUCGGGGUUCGACUAAGCCAUGCGAGUCGUAUGUUCCCCUUCGGGGGAGCAUGGCGCACUGCUCAGUAACACGUGGAUAACCUACCCUUGGGACAGGGAUAACCCCGGGAAACUGGGGAUAAUACCUGAUAGACCAUGGAGGCUGGAAGGCGCCAUGGUUCAAAGGGGCAACCGCCCGCCCAAGGAUGGGUCUGCGGCCUAUCAGGUUGUAGUGGGUGUAACGCACCUACUAGCCUACGACGGGUACGGGCUGUGGGAGCAGGAGCCCGGAGAUGGAUUCUGAGACAUGAAUCCAGGCCCUACGGGGUGCAGCAGGCGCGAAAACUUUACAAUGCGGGAAACCGUGAUAAGGGAACCUCGAGUGCCGAUGCAUAGCAUCGGCUGUCCAGAUGCCUAAAAAGCAUCUGAUAGCAAGGGCCGGGCAAGACCGGUGCCAGCCGCCGCGGUAACACCGGCGGCUCGAGUGGUGGCCACUUUUAUUGGGUCUAAAGCGUCCGUAGCCGGCUUGGCAAGUCCCCUGGGAAAUCUGGCGGCUUAACCGUCAGGCGUCCAGAGGAUACUGCCAGGCUUGGGACCGGGAGAGGUGAGAGGUACCUCAGGGGUAGGGGUGAAAUCUUGUGAUCCCUGAGGGACCACCAGUGGCGAAGGCGUCUCACUAGAACGGGUCCGACGGUCAGGGACGAAAGCUGGGGGCACGAACCGGAUUAGAUACCCGGGUAGUCCCAGC